rnacentral:lncRNA from 1 species
CAGAGUCGGGGCUGAGACCAGUCCUGGCCAGGGCAGUUACCAGGACGGUCUCCGGAGGCCGGGAUUCGCGGAGGGUCCGCCAGGAGGAAGAAACCUCAGACAGAUCGCCGGGGACGCAGCGCGGGAUCCCAGCCUCAGGCGUGCACGGACGGUGUGCGGGAAGGGAGUGUAUCCUGGUGUAUGACAGCAUAUAGUAGAGACCAGUGUCAAUUAGGGCCUGUGAACUGAGACAGGGUGACUGGCUAAGUCCACAACCCAUUAGAAACCCAGAAAUAAUCAAAUCAUGAGGGAUCAUGGAAAGGAAGCUGAAUUUGCUGAGUUUUGCCACGUGGGCAUUGCAUGCCUAUGUGAUUAACCACCAAUAAAAACCUGGGACAUCAAAAAAUAAAUAAGCUGCUUUAAUUGCCAAGAAUUCACAUGUGGUUGUAUGCAGCAUUACUGGGAGAUUGAAGUGUAUCUGCAUGUGAUUCUACUGUGAUGGACACUUGUAAAUUUGUGCCUGGAGUCUCCUGGAAUUUGCCCUGAGAAUCUUUUUCCUUUGUUGAUAAGAAUCUGCAUCCUUUUGUUUUAAUAAACGAUAAACAUGAGUAUAA